ACUUUCUGAACAAGACUCCAGUAGCACAAGGCAUAUGAACAGCAAUUAACAAAUUGGAUUUCAUAAAAUGAAAAAGCUUCUGUAUAGCAAAGGACUGUGACAUGAGCAAAUAAACAGCCCACAGAAUGUCGAAAGCCUUUGCCAGCUGUUCAUAUGACAGAUGAUUAGUGUCUACAAUAUAGAAAAAACAACAAUAAAACCUAAACAUUAAUAAAACAAACUACCUAAUCUAAAAUGGACAAUGGGACUGCCCAGAAACUUUCCAAAAGAAGAACUGCAAAUUGCUAGGAAACACUAAAAAAUGAAUGGCCCAUAUUCUCACCUCAUUGUAAUACCACAUGUUUGUUUGUACUAGUAUCCAUAAAAAUACACAAAUUGAAUGAUAAUGGCUUCAAAGUAAUUAGGUGACAAAGUUUGUUUAGCUCCAUUAUAUUGCGUGGAACUAUUGUCACACAUGUACUCAGUCAUUGACCAAAACAUCAUUAGUAGAGCAUGAAUGUAUCUGUUGCUGUUUGUAUGUCUUUUGUUGAGAACUGUCAGUUUACAUCUUCUGUUAAUCUGCUUCCAUUACAAUAACAAAUACCUCAAGAAAUUAGCUAGAGAGAGAAAGGUUCUUUGUGGCUUAUGAUUUUGGAAGUUGCAGUCAUGACUGCAUGUAUCACAGUAGUGGCAAAUAGGAAAACCAGUCAUCACCUCAGCCAGUCUGGCAUGUUUCAGAUUCACCCCAAAGUUGAACCAGUGAUUAAUAACUUCCCUCUUUCUACAGUUGCUGAAUAUAAUGGACUGAGGCUUUGCACAUGGACUUUUGAAUGGCAAUUAUACAAAUGACAGCCACCUUUUCAGACUGUGGUACAUCCUUGUAUGAAGGACAAUGACACUUGGAAUCAUGGAUAUUCAAUUUGAGACAUAAUACAUUUCAGGUGGCUCUGGACUGUUUAAGAAAGCUAACUAAGUACGACCCAACAAGCAAGCCAGCAAGCAGCAUUCUCCCAUUUUUUUUUUUCUGUUUUAG